GAACACCCAGGUAAAAUAUAUUCAAAGAAACAGGUCGUCAAUCCUUUCACAAAUGCACACUGCCAAUAAAUAGAUGUACAACCAUGCCCUAAUGUUUUAGGGAAAACAAGCUACAACAAUUUUGAACAAGUUAGGAAGCCUUUGUAAUACAACACUCAAAUUCUCUAAAUUCUUAUGUUACAAUUCAAUAAAAGGAUGUGGAGACUCUCAUUCCCUUGUGUUGCUCACAUCUCUUUCUUCCACGAACAGGUUGUCUCAUGCAUAUAAAACCAUCCUGUAAGGAAACUCCACAUGUGAAGGUGUCAAACCCUGAGAAGGAAGCAGCAGUAUCAGAAAGGCUACAACCAUCUCUCCUGCCUUUAUGCUGCCAACACUUCUUAUUUCCUCGAACAGGUUGCCUUCUGCAGACUGAACCAUUCCCCAAAGUUGCUCCACAAGUAGUAGACAGAAAUUCAUCAACAGAGCUUCCAUUUGAAGAUUGAAACUGCAAUCUAUAAUUGGUAAGCGCAAGGGACACACAUGGGUCAAUUUACUUCUGCCAAAAUCAAAUCCUCUUCACAGCUACCACAUUUCUCUCGUUUGCAAACCCGCAACCUGUUGUUCAUCUCCUUUUCCCUCUUAGUUGAGUUUUAUAUUGACAGUUGCACCAGCAGCAGUGCUAAUAUAUCCAUGGUGGUUGGCUCAUUAACUAUGAUGAUGUAAAUGAACUCUUGGAGUUUUUACCACAAAUUGAAGUCAAUGAUCACAGAUCAGAAAUGAAGUGCACCUAAUUACUUCAAACAAAGUAGCACCUUGUGAACAACUGGAGCAUUGCAUUGAAAAAUUUUCUUCUUGGUAAUGACUCCCUCGGAUCACAUCAGGAGGAAUGAGAACAAAUAGAACAAUUGUGAUCACAAGAGAACAAGAAUCCAAUUAUGGAAUAAAAACAGAGGUCACUAAUGAUAGAUUAAUAAUGUAAAAUGCAGCAAAGCACCCAAUUGCUCAGGUAAAUACAACUAGAGAAAACCUAUUUGAUGGAGAUGACCCAAAGACUGCAAGCUUUAAGGAAAAUGCCUGUGUUGCUAGAAGUGGCACCCUUGCAAACCACUCAUCACAUAGGCUUGAGCAUACUGAAAUUGUCACAGAAAAGAAGAAAAAAGAGAAGGGGAUCGGUCUAAGAAGAUUAGAGUAAGGGGUGGAAAACACAUCAAUGCCACUAGUUACUCUAGUUUAAUAGGAACACCCAGGUAAAAUAUAUUCAAAGAAACAGGUCGUCAAUCCUUUCACAAAUGCACACUGCCAAUAAAUAGAUGUACAACCAUGCCCUAAUGUUUUAGGGAAAACAAGCUACAACAAUUUUGAACAAGUUAGGAAGCCUUUGUAAUACAACACUCAAAUUCUCUAAAUUCUUAUGUUACAAUUCAAUAAAAGGAUGUGGAGACUCUCAUUCCCUUGUGUUGCUCACAUCUCUUUCUUCCACGAACAGGUUGUCUCAUGCAUAUAAAACCAUCCUGUAAGGAAACUCCACAUGUGAAGGUGUCAAACCCUGAGAAGGAAGCAGCAGUAUCAGAAAGGCUACAACCAUCUCUCCUGCCUUUAUGCUGCCAACACUUCUUAUUUCCUCGAACAGGUUGCCUUCUGCAGACUGAACCAUUCCCCAAAGUUGCUCCACAAGUAGUAGACAGAAAUUCAUCAACAGAGCUUCCAUUUGAAGAUUGAAACUGCAAUCUAUGACCACUGUCGAUUUCAGAUGAGGCAUUGCAGUUUGUCUGGCCACC
rnacentral:lncRNA from 1 species